GUGAAUAACACGACGGGUUAACGAAAUUUAGUUACGAUUUGUGCCUGGUGGGGCGUGACGGUCGACUUGAGUGUUGUGUUUUUCUUUGAAUAUUGGUACUAAUAAGGUUAAUUUUUAACAAGAAACUAUCUGCUAGGGGUACUUGCAGCUAGAGCACUGCUGGUACGCGCUCAACCAGCAGAACCACCUUCCCCCACUCUUUUUUGCGGGUUGGACGCAUAGUAUGUAAGUCCUAUUGGUUCCCAACUUACCCCCACUCUGUACUCCGUAGCAGGUAUAAAAGGCGUGCCGCAGAGCAACCCUGAGGUCACUUUGUGUUUUUUUUCAUUUACUACAAACCCUGAGGUCAGUUUUGUCUCCACGGUCGAGCAUGUCCACUUCAAGGUAUCCUAACUACCAGUCUCCAGGAGUUGGGUUUUUCCGUAGGUCGCCAGCAGGAAUGGUAACCUCAAAUACGAUGUAUACUUCCCAAAAUGCAUACUAAUAAAUAUUGUAUUGCUUA